rnacentral:rRNA from 1 species
UACGUAGAGUGCAAGCGUUGUCCGGAAUCAUUGGGCGUAAAGGGUACGCAGGCGGAUAUGCAAGUCAAAUGUGAAAACUACCGGCUUAACUGGUAGACUGCGUUUGAAACUGUAUAUCUUGAGUGCAGCAGAGGAGAGUGGAAUUUCUAGUGUAGUGGUGGAAUACGUAGAUAUUAGAAAGAACACCAGUGGCGAAGGCGACUCUCUGGGCUGACACUGACGCUUAGGUACGAAAGCUGGAGGAGCGAACGGG